rnacentral:rRNA from 1 species
UUAAAUUAUUAAGGGCGCAUGGCGAAUGCCUUGGCACUAGAAGCUGAUGAAGGACGUGACAAACAACGAUAUGCUUCGGGGAGUUGUAAGUAAACUUUGAUCCGGAGAUUUCCGAAUGUGGGAACACACUAAUUGUCAAAGAUUAGUAUCGUAAAAUGAAUACAUAGUUUUAUAGAAAGCAACCCGGUGAACUGAAACAUCUUAGUAGCCGGUGGAAAAGAAAGAAAACAAUCGAUUCUCUUAGUAGUGGCGAGCGAAAGGGGAAUAGCCUAAACCAGUCUUUGGACUGGGGUUGUAGGACCUCUAUACGGAGUUACAAAUUCACAAAAUAGUAGAAUCUUCUGGAAAGUUGAACUAUAGUAGGUGAUAGUCCUGUAUACGAAAUUUUGUGAACUCUUGAGGUAUCCUGAGUACGGCGGGACACGAGAAAUCUUGUCGGAAGCAACGGGGACCAUCCCGUAAGGCUAAAUACUCUCUAGUGACCGAUAGUGAACAAGUACCGUGAGGGAAAGGUGAAAAGAACCCCGGAAGGGGAGUGAAAUAGAAUACUGAAACCAUGUGCUUACAAAAAGUCAGAGCACAUUAAUGUGUAAUGGCGUGCCUUUUGCAGAAUGAACCGGCGAGUUAAUGUUGCAUGCGAGGUUAAGUAGAAGAUACGGAGCCGAAGCGAAAGCAAGUCUUAAUAGGGCGAUAAAGUAUGCAGUAUUAGACCCGAAACCGAGUGAUCUAGCCUUGAGCAGGUUGAAGUAACCGUAACAGGUUAUGGAGGACCGAACCGACGUACCCGGAAACGUGCGCGGAUGACUUGAGGCUAGCGGUGAAAUUCCAAUCGAACUCGGAUAUAGCUGGUUCUCCCCGAAAUAGGUUUAGGCCUAGCCUUGUGAUUAUCUUUAUGGAGGUAGAGCACUGAAUGUAAGAUGGCCCCAUCUAGGGGUACUGAUUGCAAUCAAACUCCGAAUGCCAUAAAUGAACUACACAGGAGUCACUGUAUGGGUGAUAACGUCCAUACGGGAGAGGAAAACAAUCCAGACCGCCAAUUAAGGUCCCAAAAUCUGUACUAAGUGGGAAAGGAUGUGGAGUUGUCAAAACAGCUAGGAGGUUGGCUUAGAAGCAGCCACCCUUUAAAGAGUGCGUAAUAGCUCACUAGUCGAGUGACACUGCGCCGAAGAUGUACCGGGGCUAAGUACAGUACCGAAAUUGCGGAUUGUAAUUUUUUACAAUGGUAGGGGAGCGUUCUAAUUGCACUGAAGGUAUACCGUAAGGAGUGCUGGAGCGAUUAGAAGUGAGAAUGCCGGUGUGAGUAGCGCAAGAUGGGUGAGAAUCCCAUCCACCGUUUGACUAAGGGUUCCUGGGCGAGGUUCGUCCUCCCAGGGUUAGUCGGGUCCUAAGACGAGGCUGAAAAGCGUAGCCGAUGGACAACAGGUUGAUAUUCCUGUACUAUCUAUAAGACUGAUGGAGUGACGAAGAAGGCUAACUAGAGCCAGUUAUUGGAUUCUGGUAUAAAUGCAAAGGUUUUUAAAUAGGGAAAUCCGUUUAAAGUUAAAACUGAAGUAUGAUGUUGAAGUGGUUACUUGUAACUUACGAAAUCUAGUGACGCCAAGCUUCCAAGAAAAGCUUCUAAAGAUAUUUUAUAGAUACCCGUACCGAGAACCGACACAGGUGGUCAAGGAGAGUAUCCUAAGGUGAGCGAGAGAACUAUGGUUAAGGAACUCGGCAAAAUGACCCCGUAACUUCGGGAUAAGGGGUGGUCUAGCGAUAGACCCUCAGUAAAGAGGCCCAGGCAACUGUUUACCAAAAACACAGCUCUCUGCUAAGUCGUAAGACGAUGUAUAGGGGGUGACACCUGCCCAGUGCUGGAAGGUUAAGAGGACGGCUCAGUCAAGACGUAAGUCGAUUUGACAAAGGUCGGAAUUGAAGCCCCAGUGAACGGCGGCCGUAACUAUAACGGUCCUAAGGUAGCGAAAUUCCUUGUCAGGUAAGUUCUGACCCGCACGAAAGGUGUAAUGAAAAAUGCAGGUUACCCGUGACAGGACGGAAAGACCCCAUGGAGCUUUACUAUAGCUUGAUAUUGAGGCACGGUAAUUUAUGUAGAGGAUAGGUGGGAGACUAUGAAGUAAGAACGUCAGUUCUUAUGGAGUCAACCUUGGAAUACCACCCUUAAAUUGUUGUGCUUCUAACCUCGACCCAUUAUCUGGGCCAGGGACAGUGUCUGGUGGGUAGUUUGACUGGGGCGGUCGCCUCCCAAAUAGUAACGGAGGCGCCCAAUGGUUCCCUCAGGAUGGUUGGAAAUCAUCCAAAGAGCGUAAUGGUAUAAGGGAGCUUAACUGCAAGACCAACAAGUCGAGCAGAUACGAAAGUAGGGCAUAGUGAUCAGGCGAUUCAGUAUGGAAUGGUCGUCGCUUAACGGAUAAAAGUUACCCUGGGGAUAACAGGCUGAUACCACCCAAUAGUUCACAUAGACGGUGGUGUUUGGCACCUCGAUGUCGGCUCGUCC